rnacentral:rRNA from 1 species
UACGUAGGGAGCAAGCGUUGUCCGGAAUCAUUGGGCGUAAAGCGCGCGUAGGUGGCUCCAUAAGUCCGCUGUGAAAGUCAAAGGCUCAACCUUUGAAAGCCGGUGGAUACUGUGGGACUAGAGUACGGAAGAGGCGAGUGGAAUUCCUGGUGUAGCGGUGGAAUGCGCAGAUAUCAGGAGGAACACCAAUAGCGAAGGCAGCUCGCUGGGACGUUACUGACACUGAGGCGCGAAAGCGUGGGGAGCGAACAGG